UACGUAGGGUGCGAGCGUUAAUCGGAAUUACUGGGCGUAAAGCGUGCGCAGGCGGUUUCGUAAGACAGACGUGAAAUCCCCGGGCUCAACCUGGGAACUGCGUUUGUGACUGCGAGGCUAGAGUUUGGCAGAGGGGGGUGGAAUUCCACGUGUAGCAGUGAAAUGCGUAGAGAUGUGGAGGAACACCGAUGGCGAAGGCAGCCCCCUGGGCCAAUACUGACGCUCAUGCACGAAAGCGUGGGGAGCAAACAGG
rnacentral:rRNA from 1 species